CAGGACGAACGCUGGCGGCGUGCCUAACACAUGCAAGUCGAACGGAGUUGAGGAGCUUGCUCCUUAACUUAGUGGCGGACGGGUGAGUAACGCGUGAGUAACCUGCCUCUGAGAGGGGAAUAACGUUCUGAAAAGAACGCUAAUACCGCAUGACACAUAUUUGCCGCAUGACAGAUAUGUCAAAGAUUUUUAUCGCUCAGAGAUGGACUCGCGUCCGAUUAGUUAGUUGGUGAGGUAACGGCUCACCAAGACCGCGAUCGGUAGCCGGACUGAGAGGUUGAACGGCCACAUUGGGACUGAGACACGGCCCAGACUCCUACGGGAGGCAGCAGUGGGGGAUAUUGCGCAAUGGGGGCAACCCUGACGCAGCAACGCCGCGUGAAGGAUGAAGGUUUUCGGAUUGUAAACUUCUUUUCUCAGGGACGAAUUUUGACGGUACCUGAGGAAUAAGCUCCGGCUAACUACGUGCCAGCAGCUGC
rnacentral:rRNA from 1 species